rnacentral:sRNA from 1 species
UGAAAUUGAAUUAUAGGUGCAGGAUGAGAUGUU